rnacentral:rRNA from 1 species
GACGAACGCUGGCGGCGUGCUUAACACAUGCAAGUCGAACGGAAAGGCCCUGCUUUUGCCUGGUUCUCGAGUCGCGAACGGGUGUGUAACCCAGGAGUAUCCUGCGCUUUGCUGGGUGAUAUCCUCAGGAGACUGCUGCUAAUACCUGCGAGGUGCUCCUGCUGCAUGGUGGUGGUUGGAAAGCUUCGGCGGUGGUGGAUGGACGCGGGGCUUAUCAGCUUGUUGGGUGGGUAGUGGCUUACCAAGGCUUUGACGGGUAGCCGGCCUGAGAGGGUGAACAGCGACAUUGGGACUGAGAUACGGCGCAGACUCGUACGGGAGGCAGCAGUCGAGAGUCUGGCACAAUGGGCGCAAGCCUGAGGCAGAAGUGCCGCGUGCGGGAUGAAGGCCUUCGGGUUGUAAACCGCUUUCGGCUGUGACGAAGCGUGAUUGACGGUACUGGCUAAAGAAGCACCGGCUAACUACGUG